UGUCAUUACACUAAUAUAUGCUACGCAAGCUGUUGCCUUGAAACGCAUACUGUAUGGAUUUUAUUUACAUCUCUGUUCGCCUCAACUAUUUGUAACCUUGACAAUACAGCGCAUGCGCGACGUGCAACAGGUUAACGUGAAACGCCCUUAAAGAUUCGCUGUUUUCUAAGUUGUCGAGUGAAUUUGUUGUUUAGUUUUGUGUAGGGAUUUAACUUACGUUAUCUACAACAAUGUCGGGAGAGUGGCAACACGGACUUUGCGGAUGUUUUGAUAACUUUGGACUGUGUAUUGUAUCCUGGCUUAUUCCAUGCUACAGAUUUGGCAAAAAUGCGGAAGCAGUCGGCGAGGAUUGUUUACUAUGCGGCAUCGGAUUCCUGGUUCCGGGUCUUGACCUCUUCCUAGGAGCUCAUAUUAGGUCCAAAAUUCGAGAAUCGAAAGGGAUCCAGGGGAGUUUUGUUGGGGAUUUAAUUAUGUAUUUCUGCUGCCCUCUCUGCGCCUUGGUGCAAGAAUCUCAGGAAGUUGCCGGGGGCAGUCCACAGGCAGUGUCUAUGGCAAGGGAAUGAUUGGAAGAAAAAAAGUUUAAACAAUCGGAUAUGUGCUUGUAUGAAUGCAAAGAAUACUUGAUUAAACACGGUGUUGAUAUAACUUGCUUUAUAUAAAACGGUAACAUUCAGUGUUGUUUACUAGUUCAGUACAGAAGAAUAUUAAUGGCCUUUUUAAUACGAUCGCAGGAACUGGUGUCUUUAUUAAUUCAUUGUUGGAUAGGGAGUGUAGUUUUAAACUUGUCAAUAUAUUAACAAGUUACUGCUGGAUGUAUAUUUCUUUGACUUUAUUCAGGACCAUUUCAUUGGAUAUAAUUCUGCUUCAAACGGUGCUAAUCCUCAUUUGUGCCUGCUCAUGCCUUAUAUUUCCUCGUUUCGUCUAGAAAGCGCACAUGACGGAUGCUGUUCGGCUGUUCCCGGAUAAUUCCGGAUACUGUUUCCGGAUAACUCCGGAUACUGUUCCCGGAUGAUCUAGACAACAGUACUUUCCAAUAUUCACCUUUUUGUGUUCAAAGAUUGUAUUCAAAUCUUCAAAAAACGUCUGCAUUUUAUUUCCACGACAAACCAAUAUUUUAACCAUUUUUAUGCAGUACAUGUAGUUUAACUUUUAUUUAUCCUCAUUGUUUCAGCUUCGAAUUAUGGUGUUGUGUAUUUUUUAAAGAUUUGUUUGGCAUUGAUUUACUGCUGAUAAUCAGUUUUCUGAGUAAAUAAAUAAACAAAUAUAACCGCUUUGGAUAAAUAUU